GGCCCUCUGGCUGACGGCUCAGAUAACACGUGGAUAAUCUGCCCUUAGGUGGAGGAUAAUCUCGGGAAACUGAGGAUAAUACUCCAUAAAUCUAGGAUGCUGGAAUGCAUCUAGAUUGAAAGCUCCGGCGCCUAAGGAUGAGUCUGCGGACUAUCAGGUUGUAGUCAGGGUAAAGACCUGACUAGCCUACGACGGAUACGGGUUGUGAGAGCAAUAACCCGGAGACGAUAUCUGAGACACGAUAUCGGGCCCUACGGGGCGCAGCAGGCGCGAAAACUUCACACUGUGCGAAAGCGCGAUGAGGGAAUCCCAAGUGUUUGCUCGUAAGAGUAAACUGUUUCUUUGUUUAAAACGCAGAGAGAGUAAGGGCUGGGUAAGACGGGUGCCAGCCGCCGCGGUAAUACCUGCAGCUCGAGUGGUGAUCAUUAUUAUUGGGCCUAAAACGUCCGUAGCCGGUUUAGUAAAUGCCUGGGUAAAUCGUGUAGCUUAACUAUACGACUUCCGGGUAGACUGCUAAACUUGAGACCGGGAGAGGCUAGAGGUACUCCUGGGGUAGAGGUGAAAUUCUGUAAUCCUAGGGGGACCACCAGUGGCGAAGGCGUCUAGCU
rnacentral:rRNA from 1 species